rnacentral:lncRNA from 1 species
UAACCUCAAUAAAUUAUUAACAAAUGACAUUUCACUAACGGUUAGUUAACAGAAAGAUAUUUUAAGUUAUUAUUUAAAGAGUAUGAAUGAAAUAAAUUAUUUCAUGAAACCCUAAAGAUGAUAAAUGUUUUUUCCCUUUAUUAUCCCUAUAAAAUUUUCAAAGUAAGAGACAAAACAUUAAAAUUGUCUCUCUCUCACUUAAUUAACUCCAUCUUAUUCUUUUUUUCUCUCUCUCACUCAAACCUUUCAUCUAUCAUCUUUUAAAAAAAGAUAUCGACUCUUUGACUGAUUAUGCAUAAUAUGUGAAUGAUUUUAGUAAUAUAGGUCCAGAAUUAAUUCUUUGUAAUUAUAGGAAGAGUUUUAACGGAUUUGCCAUGAAGCUAGCAAAAGAGAAAGCUCAAAUAAUGGCUGUCGGUGGGGGGUGAACAUAACUUUUUUUUUUUGUGGGUGAAUUGUUUAAUUAAUUUAAUACCAAUUUUAAUUUGCCAUAAGAAUGAAAUAAAAGGGAAGUAAUACAACGUUUUGGUCAUUAUUUGAAGCUAUAUUAUCCUUGCUGUUGAUUUGGCUUCAAAACGAGCUGAAACUCUUAAAUGGUAUUUUUCCUUUGAUGAAUAGAUAGGCGAAGCAGCCAAUCUAUUUCAAUUAUUUAAAGCAAUGGGAGUCGUAGGAUCUGUGCGUAUUUCCAAAUCGAAGCUUCAUACUGCAACAUAAUGGAAUUUCAUGAGGUUUCCCAGCAAGUAGAAAGAGCAACAACAGUGGAAAGUGAUGAAGUGAUUGGAAUAUUUGACACUGGAAUUUGAGAAAGUUUUAAUUAAAAUGGCAGCACUCAUGUUUCAAAAAUAAUCUUCUCAUCACCAUCAACAGAAAUCUUCUCCUUCGUAAUAACAAAAAUUAACUAUCGUCAUUUUCAUCAAUUUAAACAAAAAAAAAAAAAAACUUCUUCAUCACGUUUCAAAAAUGGCAGCCGGUGGAACAAAGAUGAUAGGUGAAGAUUUGGCGGGGAGAGAGAGAGAGAAUAAGACAGAUAAUUAAGGGUGAGAGAGAAAAAUUUAAUGUUUUGUCAGUAAAAAUUAAGUGGAUAAUAUGUAAUUUUUGUUUCCAAAUUUUUUAAAUUUCUAUUGCCACGUGUUUAGAUAUCGAUAGUUAAUGGUUUAGAUAUUGAUAGUUAAUGGUUUCACGUUAAAUUACAGGUUAGGGUUAUUUUGAAACUGUUCUAAAAGU